rnacentral:rRNA from 1 species
AUUGAACGCUGGCGGCAGGCUUAACACAUGCAAGUCGAGCGGGGGAAGGUAGCUUGCUACUGGACCUAGCGGCGGACGGGUGAGUAAUGCUUAGGAAUCUGCCUAUUAGUGGGGGACAACAUCUCGAAAGGGAUGCUAAUACCGCAUACGCCCUACGGGGGAAAGCAGGGGAUCUUCGGACCUUGCGCUAAUAGAUGAGCCUAAGUCAGAUUAGCUAGUUGGGGGGGUAAAGGCCUACCAAGGCGACGAUCUGUAGCGGAUCUGAGAGGAUGAUCGGCCGCACUGGUGCUGAGACACGGCCCAGACUCCUGCGGGAGGCAGCAGUGGGGAAUAUUGGACAAUGGGCUCAAGCCUGAUCCAGCCAGGCCGCGUGUGUGAAGAAGGCCUUUUGGUUGUAAAGCACUUUAAGCGAGGAGGAGGCUACUGAGAUUAAUACUCUUGGAUAGUGGACGUUACUCGCAGAAUAAGCACCGGCUAACUCUGUGCCAGCAGCCGCCGUAA